UACAGAGGGUGCAAGCGUUAAUCGGAAUGACUGGGCGUAAAGGGUGCGUAGGUGGCGUUUUAAGUUAGAUGUGAAAUCCCUGGGCUUAACCUAGGAACUGCAUUUAAUACUGGGACGCUAGAGUAUGGGAGAGGUAAGUGGAAUUUCCGGUGUAGCGGUGAAAUGCGUAGAUAUCGGAAGGAACACCAGUGGCGAAGGCGGCUUACUGGCCUAAUACUGACACUGAGGCACGAAAGCGUGGGGAGCAAAC
rnacentral:rRNA from 1 species